GCGUCUGCUAGAACAGAGCUACGUCUAUGGAACCUUAGACUUGUUCGUGCUUUAUUGCAAUACUUUAAAGACACAAAGUCUCAACAACCAUCUUCCGCUUGAUGAGACAGAUCAUUCUAAUUUGAGCAGAAGCUACUAUGUCUUGCCCUUUGAACGUGGCGGCCCGGACAGCUGACAAGGACGCACUGUGUAUUUCCAUUCCAAUUCUGGGAGUGCUCUGAGGCCUCUGGGGGAGAAGGACCCAUGAAAUAUUCAAAACAUAAGUGAAUAAAAUAUCUACGUGCUAGAUAUGGGCCAGGAAGAGCCCUCGGCCCUGCAAAGUGUGUGCGAUGGUGAGAAGCUACUGGAAGAGAUGGUCCCUGUUCUUGGUUCAUUGCUUGGACAUUUAUCAAGCUGACGAAUGUAGCAGAGGUGCUUCAGUUGGCUGUAAUUCCACGGGUGGAGUGAUGGCUGGAGAGUUACCUGGGGCCGUCACACUGCACGGGCUCCGGGACACUGUGGCUGCCCUUAUGUGGUGUCCCCAGAGGGCCCUGCAGGUGUCACACCGCUGCUCCACACUGCCACCUGCUGUCAGCACCUGUGCAAUGUAUCCAGGUCUCUGGGGGCUAGAAUGAAAAACAUGCAUCUCGUAACCAAUGAAAUGGGGCUUGUCCUGAAGACCUCG
rnacentral:lncRNA from 1 species